UACGUAGGGGGCUAGCGUUGUCCGGAAUCAUUGGGCGUAAAGCGCGUGUAGGCGGUUCGGUAAGUCCGCUGUGAAAGUCGGGGGCUCAACCCUCGGAUGCCGGUGGAUACUGUCGAGCUUGAGUACGGAAGAGGCGAGUGGAAUUCCUGGUGUAGCGGUGAAAUGCGCAGAUAUCAGGAGGAACACCAAUUGCGAAGGCAGCUCGCUGGGACGUUACUGGCGCUGAGACGCGAAAGCGUGGGAGCAAACAGG
rnacentral:rRNA from 1 species